UGUUAUAACCAGAAGAGAGACUUGGAAUUUCCAUGGAGAUGGAAGACACUUAGAUUAAAUGCUGCUAACAUUUAAAUGCCUGGGGUUGCCUUGGUGUACUAGAGGCCAGCAAAGGAGUUUCUUCAUGAACAUGAGAAUUGUGCUUCAUCAGCUUCCACGCAUUCCAGGAGAACUCUUCUGUGGUGUCCCUGUGAGUCAGGUUAAAGCCAAGAAGUCACCAGUAUCUGUUAGUCGUCCAAGAAUAAAACAGGCUGAAACCUAUUUAGAUGCAUGUCUCCAUUUGCUAGUGUUUAACAUCCAAACUCUCAACCUCAAGUUUCCGUCGUAAGCAAAGAAACUUAUCAUUAUUUGCAGGACAAAAGGAGCUAAGGCAAAGAAGUAAAUCUUAUUCUGAAGAGUUAAUCAUGUGGAAUCCCAGGUCUCACUCCCCAGGGAUGCCAGGUCUGUUGUGAGACCAAAAACUGUUCACUUUUUACAGGUGCUCCAGGUGAUUCUACACAGGUGGACCACGUUUUUGGAGGAAGAGAAGGUCAGCUUCAUAAGAGCUGAAAACAGCUGGAGUGGGGUAGGGGGUCCCAGGGAACUUGGUGAUAUGCAGCCACCUGGGCUGGAGGCUCUCGGUGGAGAGGAGGGCUUCAGAGCAGGGAGAAGCUUGAGGUCUGCAGCUUUCCCUUUGAGCUACUGUUCACCACUUGACCCCAAGCAGCAGGGAAGGAGGAAGAAGCAAGUAUUGUGCCAAACAGCCAGCAGUAACCUGACUUCCCAGACUCUGCUCCCUCGCACCCCUCAUGCUAAGGACCAUUUCCUGCCUGACCUGUGAGCUCAGGCUCAGUCUCAGUUGCGAGUACUAGCAACCAGAAUUGGGCUGGAGACAAACUUUGCUCCUUUCUUGGUGGCUUGGUAACAUCACCACAGCUGCCUGGCAGACUCGAACCUCAUGUCACACAACAUAUUCCUCAACCUUUUUGGCUUGGCAUCCCUCAAAAUAAACUUUAAUGCAACCUCA